rnacentral:rRNA from 1 species
GUUGACCUCGGAUCAGGUGAGGAUACCCGCUGACUUAA